AUCAAAACACAUGAACCCUAAUUUAUCAUCUUCGUCAUCUUCAUAGCAGCCACCAUUUAUCAUCUUCAUAGUUUGCAACCACUUCUUCAUCUUCAUUAGUAUCUUCAUAGAUUUGCAAUCAUUUCACCCCAACCUCCACCCUUCACCACUUCACCCAAACCUCCACCCAUAAACCACUAUCUUUCAUUUGUUCUAAUUCUCAAAUCCCAAAUAGCAAAUACAAGUGACAUGCUCAGUCCAAACCCUAGACUGUAAACCACUAUCCUUUACUCGCAACUUCUGCUUGACUAACAACCACCAUCUAUCAAACUGUUCCGAAGUAUCAUAAUGUUCUUCAGAUCCGGUUUUGGCCUAUGAACGUGUUGAUUGUGGUUGUUCGUCCUCUUUAACAACAUACACGGUUAACUUUUUGUUGGUAGUAUUCUGAUGGUUUUUUUAAUGGAUUUUGGAGGUAAAAAGAUGGGAGUUUAUUAGGGGUUUUGUGAAGGUGGAUAAAGGGGGAGUGGGUGUGAAUUGUAGAAGGAUAAUGGUUGCAUAUGCAUAAAUGAAAGAAAUGAAGCUUAGAUCAAUGUAUUCGUGGUGUAGAUUGUGUUUGUGGAAGAGGGAGAUUCACAACAGUUAGUCUAGAAGUAGUCCGUGAAAAUCUCGAUGAUGAUGAUGAUGAAGAAUAUGGUUUGAAGAUGAACUGAUGAAGAUAAACAUGGAUUGAAGAUAAUGGUUAAAUUAACAAAACCAUUAAAAGAUAUACAAUAAUCCAUGUCAUUUAAAAAAUCCAUGUCAUUUGAGUCAUUUAACACGUGGCUGCCACGUCACCAUUUUUCAUAACGACGUUAGGCAGAAUUAACGGUGGAGUAUUUUACAAAAAAAAUGGACGAGGUCGGAUUAUUGGCGGCUAAUUCGUGACUUGAGAUUAUUAUUGGCCAAUUUCAGAAAGAUGGGAUUAUUAUUUUCCAAUUUGCCUAAAUAAAAUGUUUUAAUUAUGCAUUAAAUAUUUUGAUGUUAUUUGCUUCUUCAAAGAAAAUAUAAUCAUAAUGGGUAAUUAUAUGUGAUCAAUGAAUUGCCUUUAAAGUCAAAGAUAAUUACGAUAACUAUGAUGAACUUGACUUUAACCAUCAAUUUUGUUUUUCAAUUAAUUUUCAAUUGAGACACAAUUCUUAGUUAAAGAUGGUAGGUCUCAAAAAUAUCUUCUUAUACAAAUAGGAGAUUUUGAUUAAAUCCUAAUGUUUAUUAAAGGUGAUUAGUUUUGUCACUUGUUUUAUUUAGAAAUCCUAGCAUUAUGAAACUAUGUUAUUUAUAAAAGAAAAGUUGUUUAGUUGUUAUAGUCAACAACGUAUCAGUCUAUGUGUCAAAUUGUGGAUUGAGUUCGUAAGAAAUUGUGCAUUUGUAUGAGUUUUGUUUCCAUGUCAAUUCUAUAUUAAUUCGAAUCAGUUUUCGUAUUAGUUUAUUUGUUAGGAUUGUGUCCGCAUUUGUUUUCGGUAUCUAUGUCAGUACAGUAUUAGUGUUGUGACUAUUUAUGUUUUCGAUAUUAGUGUCAGUGUCCGUGUCAGUUCAAUAUCAGUAUAAUUUUAGAAUAUAUGGGUAA
rnacentral:lncRNA from 1 species